AGCUAAUAGAUACCCGGGUAGUCCUGGCAGUAAACGGUGCACGUUUGGUGUGGGAGGAUUCGACCCCUUCUGCGCCGGAGCUAAACGCGUUAAACGUGCCGCCUGGGGAGUACGGUCGCAAGAUUAAAACUCAAAGAAAUUGACGGGGGCCCGCACAAGCGGUGGAGUAUGUGGCUUAAUUCGAUGCAACGCGAAGAACCUUACCUGGCCUUGACAUGCAUCUCUAAGUUGGUGAAAGCCAGCGAGUCCCGAAAGGGACAAUUUGCACAGGUGCUGCAUGGCUGUCGUCGGCUCGUGUCGUGAGAUGUUGGGUUAAGUCCCGCAACGAGCGCAACCCCUGUGAACUGUUGCCACGGAACCGAGAGGUUCCAGCACUCUGUUCAGACUGCCCCUUUUCAAAGGGGGAGGAAGGUGGGGACGACGUCAAGUCAGUAUGGCCCUUACGGGCCAGGGCUGCACACGUACUACAAUGCCCAGUACAGAACGAUCCGAGACCGCGAGGUGGAGGAAAUCCAGUAAAACUGGGGCCCAGUUCGGAUUGGAGUCUGCAACUC
rnacentral:rRNA from 1 species